GAUUUCUGGAUGGCUGUGCUAGCCCGCUGGCUUUCGGGUCGGUGAGCGCCGGUACGAGUCAUUCAUCUUUGUAGGGAGCCUGGUCUGCCCUUUUUUGGGUGGGUCUGUGCGAACUACAUCAUUUACUUUGAAAAAAUUAGAGUGUUUAAAGCAGGCUUUUUGCUAUGAAUACAUUAGCAUGGAAUAAUAAUUUAGGACUUUGGCCCUAUUUUGUUGGUUUCUAGGACUGAAGUAAUGAUUGAUAGGGAUAGUUGGGGGUGCUCGAAUUCAGCGGCCAGAGGUGAAAUUCUUGGAUUCGCUGAAGACGAACUCAUGCGAAAGCAUU
rnacentral:rRNA from 1 species